rnacentral:lncRNA from 1 species
UUCUGUAAUUCUCACCUCUUGCCUCUUUUCCUUCAUGGACUGAUGCUCAGACGAUGUUUCUGUGCAAGGAUGAACAUCUCUAGUCCAUUUACACUGUUCUACUCAUGACAUCAUGCUCAGUGUCUCAGAUAUUUAUUUGUUAAUUUUCUGCUUUUCCUACUCUCUGUGACAAAUCUAGGGAUUUAUUUUGUUUAUUGUUGGAUUUCUAGUCAAAGAUAAUGUCUGAAAAGUUAAUCAAUAGGACAGAAACCACACUUAUGAUUUUCUCACAUAUAUUUCCUUUUUGAGCUCGUAUUACAUGCUCUAAGUUCUUGCAUCUCUGCUCCUAAACUGUAGGCUUCCUUUUCUAUCAUUAUUUGGAUGUGAGAAUUUUCAAAGUGAGAGCACUUCACUAAUAGUCAUGUGCCCACAAUGUAGAUCUUACUGUUGACAUUUACUAGACUUGUGUCAUUGCCCAUUUUUCCAUUAAUCUAAAAUGCAAAAUAUCCUUUAAAUUAAAAAUAUGAAUGAAGAUAGGAAGCUUCAAGCCUUGCUGAAUUCAUUCCAAUAUGAUGUCAUAAUCUGAGGCUUGUAAGCCCUUCAUGUGACCUCAGAAAGACAGUCUGGCUAAUUCAAGAGGGGGUGGUAAGUGUCCCUAGUGACUCUCCUGGGAUCUCCCUUAGUUUGACUUUGUAACUAAUUAGAACUAAUAACCACUGAAGUCAUGCAUCUUUGAUUGGGCUUCUCCCCCCUCCAGGCCUGAGUACGACAUAUUUGCUUGGAGAAGUUCUACCCCAACAAAGCCUUUAGAUAUGAACAGGAGGGGAUGUUUCCAUGGUAUAUUGUCACUGUUCACCUAGCAUGUAAUCCUAGGCUGUCUUGAUUAACUGACAUGAGGGAGGCUCAGCCCCUUUCACAAGUCCCUGAGCUUCCUAGGUCAGGCUCCAAAUGUGUUUUAUUUUUAUAUCCCACAAUAUCUUCGGGCUAUAGUGAACAUAUUAGUCAGGGUUCUCCUGAGGAGCAGAAUCAAUAGAAUAUAUACAACUAUAAGGAUUUAUUAGACUGUCUCAUAUGAUUAAAGGCUGAACCAUCUUACAGUGGCUGACUUAAGCAGUAGAGUCUAGUAAGCCAGUGGCUACUCAGUGUAAGAAGCUGGGAGUCUCAAAACAAAGUAGACCAAAGAUGUAGCCUCAGUUAAAGGUUGAAGACCUAGGAUCUCCUUGAAGAGUUGCUGGUCCAAAUCAUGAGCCUGAGAUAUCUGGAAUUUGAAGUACAUAGGUAACACAAACCAGCACAAUUCAAACUUGCUCUGAAAGGCACUGAACACACCCAAGCUUCCCUCCCUGCUGCUGUUCUGUCCCACCUGGACCUACUAGGUCCAGGUCUACUGGAUAGACCCAUGGUGGAGCUCUCACACUCAGUUUACUGACACAUACUCAAACCUUCUUUGAAAGGACUUUCCUAAACACACCCCAAAGCAUGUUCUAGAUGACUUUGGAUCCCUUUAGUGUUGACAGCCAACACAGACUAUCACAAUGAGGCUCCUUAGUGACUAAAAGAUUGAAGGAUUGUUGGUGACUCAACAUGUCUCCAGACUCAUCAUGAGUCCAGACCUGUUAACUGAAGAAUGUUAACAGACUCCCUAGUCUGACAAAGAAUUGCUUGCAUUCUUGCAUUCCCACCAUUCAGUUUUCUUUAUGUGCAUAAAUAUAAGGUCAUAACCAACACUUACAGAUUGGAGUCAUUAGCCAGUAACACAAGCAUCAACCAGUAGUCUGUCAGAGAUACAAAUCUCAGUUCCUGAAUCAGAACCCCUGGGAUAUGGCCUGUAGUGUGUUCUAUAGCCAACACCCCAGUAGAUUUUAGAUCUCUAUUCCUCUCCAAGUGUGAGGAACAAUGGGUCAAGCCACAGUACAUCUGGCUGUGCUAGCAAAGGGAACUGACCUCCAUCUUAGGAAAGGUAUUGCUGCUUACCAAGAAGACUUUUCCAGGCUGUGUGUGUCUAGAGGCAUGUCUCAGAAAAAUGCAGUUUUUCCUUUGUUGUUUCUUUUGUUGUGGUUUUGUGUCUGCUGAGAAUCACCCCUCCACCCUCUAAGACCCAUAUCUGAGGCUAAGUUUGAGGACAUACUGAGAACGUCUGCACCUGCUGUGUGGAUCAUGGGUCACCUGGCCUGUGUUGGUACUGCCAGUCCAAUGCAUGGAGAAGGGAAUGGAUGUUUUAGCUUCUAGUAAGUGCAUUCAAUCCAUCUCCCUUGUAACAACUGAACUCUCUGAGUCCAGGGCUGGGUCAUCUCAUCAUUUGCCUUGAGUAGUUCUAACUCAGAGAAGUUGCAUAACAAAUAUCCUAAGAAUGGAAAGAUCUAUGGAAUUUAGAUGUCUAGAGUUGAGAAAAUUUGUUGAGGCCCACGUUUCAACAGUUUCCCUAGGCCAAACUGUGGGGCUUUUUGUGAUAAAUAAGCAACAGCCACACCUAGUGGCCUCUAAUAUCAGACCUUCAAAUCACCUGAAUGUUGGGUGAGUAGAAAGGUGGCCACAGAGGGAACACAAUAACUUACAAUGUUUCAGUUUGCUACAAAUACCCUCAAAGCAUAUAAUACUGAAUCGCAUCACUUUCUGUUAUCUUCUUUGAGGGUAGAGGCUGUGUGCAACCCUUCCUUGAUGAAAUGAUGAGGGCCAUUUCCCCAAAGCACCCAGGUUUUCCCAGCUAGUCACAUUCAGAAAUGAAGAUGCUCUCCAGCAUCCACAAUUAGGACUCAAUGGACUAUCCUCAGGGCCAUUGAAAUUGUUGGUCAUCUCUGACUUCUGGGGCAAGGACCCUCUUCAAAUUAUCCUUGAAUACCAUCCUGAAGUCAGAGCAUAAGUUUCUCAGCCAUCGCUCCUUAACAUAUAGGCGUGCCAUGCAUCAUUUCAAAUGACAAAGGUAGGUAUGGUGUUGGGGUGGAGUACCCACGUAGUGUGCAUAAAACCUUGGUUCAACCCCUGGUAC